AUUUAAUUUUUAUUACAAGGAAUUGGUUCACAUGACUGGAGGCUGAGAAAUCCCAAUGUCAACAGUCAACAAGCUAGAGACUCAGGAGAGCUGACGGUGUAAAUUCCAGUCUGAGUCCAAGUCUGAAAGCAGGAGAGGACCAGUGUCCCAGCUUAAAGGCCAUCAGGCAGGAGGAAUUCCUUCUUACUCAGGAGAAUCAGCCUUAUUGUUCUAUUUAGUCCUUCAAAGGAUUGGAUGAGGCCUGCCCGCAUUAGGGAGGGCAAUCUGCUUUAUUCUACCAUUUAAAAUGUUAAUCUCAUCCAGAAAAACCCUCACAGAAACACCCAGAAUAACGUUUGACCAAAUAUCUGGGCACUUGUGGGCAGACCGAGGCAGAAUAGUGGGUGCUUGUGUGCUGAUCUAGAACCCAGGAAUGAGUCCUGCUCCAUCACUUAUAGAUCGAAAUCCUGGAAGUUACUGAACUUGUCCGUGUCUCGGUUUAUUCAUUAUGAAUGUGUGGUUGGCAAGAGAUGGGGGUGAGAAUUUCUUGAAUUAAUACUAAGAAGGAUUGGGUUUUAAGUAUUUCACAUAGCUAUAAUUAUUAAAUUAACAUCAAAACAGUCACAUAAAUAUUUUCAUAUGCUCUUUACACAGGAUGUGGUACAACUGGCCCCACAUUUGAGCUUUCCUGUUUACAGCUGAGGCUCUGACCUCUGUCCCUGAGGCUUCACUCCAGUCACUUGAUCCUGUGAAGUGUCACACAUUUCUAGACACAUCUCUAGUUGUUUUACAAGCAGCUAACCUUGUUCGUUAUGGAUGGGUUUUAUGUGCUUAACUCUUAUAGGGUGAUUCUCUUUCUUUAGGUCUUAGGGGUUGCGCCAUUGUUCCUAUGUGCAAAGUCAGAACUGUAUGAGCAGCAUAAACCAGAUGUCAUAGCAAUUCGAGAGAGGGAAAGUCAUUGCUGGCUAGAAUGACCAGGGUGACCUUUCUGUAGAAGCCCAGUAGCGUAAUCAGAGAUGAUCUGACCUGGAACUGGCUGUAAGAGGAAUGCCCAGGGGAUGUUUUAUUGAAUCUGCUUUAGCCAAAAGACUCUAAGAAAGUUUAGCCUGGAGUUCCAUAGCAAUGAAAACUCUUUUCAGAGUUAAUCAUUUUUAUCUAUCAUCCUCUUAAUUCUGUAGAGUGUAACUCGUUCCCAGGGUACACUUUUUCUUGGCCCACAAGCAUCUAUUUCCUGUCUACCAUGAAAAGGACACUUAAGUGCUAGUUUCUGCUGCUAAGUGCUUCAGUUAAAAAAUGAAAAACCUCUUUUUUUAAGACUUUCUAAAAAUUUAUCUUCUCUAAAAUCAUGGGGCCUGGUUCUUCAACUUUAUAGAAGAACCUAGGUCUUUGAGGAUCACGUACAUUAGCAUAUGAAAAAAUAUGACAUACAAGUGUUGCUGUAAACAAACUAACAUUGUUAAAACUUUAAAACACACUACCAAUUUAUUCUGGUUAAAUAACUUUAAUUUAAAAUUAAUUAACUGAAUGGAUUUCAAAAAGAAGAAGGAAAGUUAAGGCACAAAAUUCAGUCUUUCAAGCCUGGGAUAUACCACUUCGUAAGUUUUAUCAGCCUCCUUCAGUAUCACUUUAUUUCCUUAUGAAAUCUGGAUACGGUAUAUACUUCACAAUGUAUGGGGUAGUUAUAAGGAAUAAAAAAUACAGUAUAGAAAGGACACACCUAAUAGUGGGAAACAGAGUAAGUGCAUUUAAAAGUUUCACCUAUUUGCAAAACUCUUUAUGCGGUAGUUAUAAGGUCUAGUAUUAUACUAUAUAUGUAAAAAAGUUAUGGAAAAUUACUAUAGCUUUGGAUAAUUUACUAUCUAAGUGAAAUAGUCAAGAGAUGCCAGAAUUCAGUUUUAUGUCGGUAUUCUCAAGGGAGUAUGUAAUCGAGACAUACUGAUUAUUUUGCAAAAUUAAGAUGAUAAACUGAGUGAGAAAAUUUCUCAGGUUCCUCAAAUCUCGAAAAUUCAGAGCAUUAUUCACACACCUGGGUUGUAUUAACAGUUUCAAACAUUUGACCUUAACACAGCUUUGUCUGCAUUUUGAGAAAUGACCACUAGAGGGCAGGAGAACCAAACUAUGAAGUCUACAUGUGGUUCACCAAGACUGAAGUACUGUAUUAGAAGGAGUAUUCUCAACCAGUAGAUGAGCAGUGGCACCAGUGCUCAAGGUCACUCAGCUGAGUGACCAAGCCUGCCCCAUCUGAGGUUCUGAGAAGUCACGACAUAAGCUUACUUGUCACAGAGCUGUGAUGUGGCCCCAGGUGAGUCUGACCCCAAAGGCUGUGCUGUGCACAGGUGCCCGAGGAGGUGGCCCCUGAGCCCAGCCGUGGAGGCUGAGGAUGAAGCAGCGUGGCCCACCUGCUGGAUGCAGAACAGCGAGAAGCUGUGGUUGCAGAGCCCAGAGACGGUGCUUGUGACUGUGACAGUCACGGGCGUGGUGGACGCUGAAGAGGAGGAGACGCUGCUGUAGGCCAAACUGAUGCUGUAGAUCUGGGGGAACCGCGAGGAGGUGGCUGCUCAGAACAGUGGAGGAUGGCAGGGUCAGCAGAGGCCCUGGACUCUGCAGGGCACCCCGUGCCAGGGAGCAGAUUUGGGGGCUUCUAGAAACUGGGGCUUCUUGGCUCAUUUUGUGGGUGCAGAUUGGGAAGGAAAGGGCUGUGGAAGUGCUGCCAAGGAGAAGGGGCGGGCACUGAGCUGCCUUUCUUGGCCGUCAGAGGACUCCAGGACAAAGCUCGUGGUGACCUCCUCCACUCCAGAGCUGGCGGAGCCGACUGAGUGCACGCUGAACACAUCAGCGACAUGCCUGCUGCUGAGGUGGCGGACACACCUGAGUGUGAGGACCAGGAGUGGAAGCUGCCGCCAGUCCUGGGCUCCAUAUUGGUGCCCUUGUGGCUGGGUGGCGAGACGUGCCCGUGGGCACUGGUGGCUGUGACCAGCACUCUGGAAGGUGUGAGAGACGUGUGCAGAGGGCAUUGCCCUGAGGUGGGCAGGAUGCUAUGCCAGUGCUCCUUGGCAAGUGUCAGCUAGUCUUCUGGUUCCCAAAGAGCAGAAGACACCUAAGGCCGUGAGUGGACAAAGGGAGGCCAGGCCCACCUGUGGAAGGGCAGGCAUCAUGGCUGGCAGCAGGAGAGUUGCCGAGUAAAUCUGGACUCUGGAGGUGGCCUGGGACACUGAAGUCUGUAAGUGCUUAGCUGCCUGACUAGCCAGACACUGAGGGUUGCAGCCUUGUGCUGGCCAGCGGUAGGGACCAAGUAGUAAGUGUCCUUGUCUAUCUCGAGUCCCGUCUGCUUCAUGUGAGGGAAGGUUGAGCUGGCUCCAUGCCUGACCUUCGCCCUUUUGGUGCAAGUCUGCUUCUUCAGGACAUAGUCACAGUGGGCGGUGGGGUUCAUGGCAUAGCACAGGUUGGCUUUGUUAGGAGUCUGCAGCUCUGGUGGGAGGGAGACAGAGGAAGGGUCACCUGUGCUCAGGAGAGGGCUGCAGGCCAGGGAGAAGGAUAUGCAUAGCAACAGAAAGAAGAUUAGUGGUGGUCAGGGGUGAGGGGUAUGUGGAUUGGGACCCUUCCUGGUGCCAGUGUUUCCCACUCUGCACCCACAGAAAGAGCCAAGUAUCCCUGGCUCCUGAACAGAGCUUCUGGAAUCCCCCAGAGCCAGAAGCAGGUCUAGGGUGCCUGGCAGAGUCCAGGCAUCUACUUUAAUGUGUACAGGAUUUCUGUUUGGCGUGAUAAAAACAUUCUAUAAAUAGACAGUGGUGAUGGUUGCACAGCAUAUUGAAUUUACUUAAUGCCACUGAAUUGAAAAAUUUAAAAUGAAUAAAAGAUAAAUUUUCACUGUGUGUAAAUUUUAAAACAUAAGCUCUUAUAAACCAUGAAGUAUAUGAAAUAGAAAAGGAAAAUUUGAAACAAAAGUUGUCAUCACAAGGGAGGGAAGGCCAGCUCCAGCACUGGAGCCAGCGCUACGGCUGAUGCUAGAGGU